CACGUAUCACUGAAGUCUCUGCUUGCUUAGCUUUGUGGUCACCUAAUGAUUCAAAAGACAUUUCCGUAAAUGCCUGGAAGCAAUCAGUCUUCUAGCCUUCGCUGAUGGGUUCUGCAUAUGAGUUCAGGCAUGCCUUCAGGACUCCACCAGGCACUUGGUAAUUCUGCCUUAUCCUUCACUUUUUGCUUGAGCAGCGCCGAAAGGUGAGCCAGAGAUUUUGCACACGGGAGAACAUGAAUUUGGGGUGCCAGCUGGUGGAGUUUACUGGGUUAAUUAGUGCCACCCUUCAGCCCCCUAAAAAUGCCUGUUCAACUGGAACCUGUGAAUGUGACCUUAUUUGGAAAUGGGAUUUUUUGCAGAUUUAAUGAUGAGGUAAUCAUGGAUUAGAGGGAUCUAUAAUCUAAUACAUGGUAUCUGUGGUUUCCUCAUAGGAGGGAAAUUUGGACAUGGACACAUAGGGAAGACAGCCAUGUGGAGACAGAGGCAGAGGUGGACCUGCUGC
rnacentral:lncRNA from 1 species